AGGCCCCUCCAUCUGAACUUCCAGCUUAGUUUUCUGAGCAUGGAGGCUGAGGAACUCAAGUGAGUGGGUGUUCGCAGCCUGGCAGCACAUUGGAAUCACCUGGGGUGCUUUGAAAACUACAGCUGUUCGGGCCAGCACAGGCUAAUUAAAUUAGCAUUUUGAGGGAGGGGGUGCCCUGAUGACAGCAUGUUUCAAAGCCUCUUCAGGUGAUCAUAGUCGGCAUCAGGGUGAAGAGCCAUUGGCCUACGGCAGUGGUCCUCAGUCACCUGGUGAGCUUGUUAAACCACAGUUUGCGGGGCCCCAUCCCACACUUUCUCAUUCAACGGGUCGGGGGUGGGGUGGAGUCUGAGAAUCUGCAUUUCUACCCAGCAACCAGGUGCUGCUGCUCCUGGGCUCCCACUGAGGACCACUGGCUCAGCCCAAGUCUCCUUCAAAGCUAGUGCCAGUGAGCCCAGGUUUGGGAUCCCUCCCAGCCUUGGAUCCUGGCGUGGCAGAUCCAGCAUCUGGUUCUAGCUCUGCUACCAUCCAAUCCUGGACUGCUCACAUCCUUCUCUGGGCCUCGGACAACACUCUCUCUCAAGUGCCUUUUAAGCUCUCAGAAUCUUUGGAAACUUGGAAAUUACUGAAAAGUGUAUGGAGCAAAUGAAAAAUUAUGCAGAAUCCUGUAGCCCAAAGAGAGCAAUUGGACGCCUACCACAGCAUGAAUUGACAAGCGGUACAAUGUCUGCACCCGGGAUCCAAACUGGGGAACCCCAGGCCACAGAAGCAGAAUGUGCACACCUAACCGCUGCGCCACCGGGCCAGCCUCUGAUGAAAUUGUGAUUCAUCCCUUUCUUCUUCUUUUCUUGUAUACCUAUGUAUUUUAAAACAAUUGAAGUAAUGCAAGAGAAACAAAGGUGGGCAUUCCUAUCGCCUGCUUUCCUGUUUUAUUAUUGGUUCUUUGAAAUCAUAAAAAUGACUAGUCCAUGGAUGAUAAUAAUUGCCAAUGUUUGAGUCCUUAAGACGUGAGAUGGUGGGUAAAUGCGUGUUCAUUGUCUCAGUUAAAUAAUCCGUCAUUUCUUUAACUGGUCUUCUAUGUAAACAAUGCUGUGAUGAACAUCUUUCGUAUACAUAUUUUCAUCUUUCUGAUUAUUUCUUUAGACCAGGAGUUGGCACACUUUUUUAUAAAGGACCAGAUAAUAUUUUAUGUUUAGUGGGCCAUAUGGUCUCUGUCACAACUACUCAAUUCUCCACUGCAGCACAAAAGCAGCCAUAAACCGUAUAAACAAAUGAGCGUGGACGCAUUCCGAUAAAAUGUUAUUUACAAAAACAGGUGGCUGGUUGGGUUUGGUCUGUGGGCCAUAGUUUGCCCACCCUGCUUUACACUAGAAUCAGUGAAGGACUGGCAAAUUCUUUUCAAUAAAAGGCAGAUAGAAAAUGUAUUUAGUUGUGCCCAGUACUGUCUUUGUUGCUGUUUCUUCUCCCCUCCCGCUUUGACCUCUUCUCUCCCUCCUCCUCGUCCUCCUCCUCCUUCCCCUCCUCCUCGUCCUCCUCCUCCUUCCCCUCCUCCUCGUCCUCCUCGUCCUCCUCCUCAUCCUCCUCCUCGUCCUCCUCCUCCUUCCCCUCCUCCUUCCCCUCCUCCUCGUCCUCCUCCUUCCCCUCCUCCUCGUCCUCCUCCUCGUCCUCCUCCUCCUCCUCCUCUUCC
ensembl:lncRNA